rnacentral:rRNA from 1 species
GACGAACGCUGGCGGCGUGCUUAACACAUGCAAGUCGAACGGAAAGGCCCUGCUUUUGUGGGGUGCUCGAGUGGCGAACGGGUGAGUAACACGUGAGUAACCUGCCCUUGACUUUGGGAUAACUUCAGGAAACUGGGGCUAAUACCGGAUAGGAGCUCCUGCUGCAUGGUGGGGGUUGGAAAGUUUCGGCGGUUGGGGAUGGACUCGCGGCUUAUCAGCUUGUUGGUGGGGUAGUGGCUUACCAAGGCUUUGACGGGUAGCCGGCCUGAGAGGGUGACCGGCCACAUUGGGAAUGAGAUACGGCCCAGACUCCUACGGGAGGCAGGAGUGGGGAAUAUUGCAAAAUGGGCGGAAGCCUGAUGCAGCAACGCCGGGUGGGGGAUGACGGCCUUUGGGGUGUAAACCGCUUUCGCCUGUGACGAAGCGUGAGUGACGGUAAUGGGUAAAGAAGCAACGGCUAAAUAAGUG